rnacentral:rRNA from 1 species
GCUAGCUACAGGCUUAACACAUGCAAGUCGAGGGGCAGCAUGGUCUUAGCUUGCUAAGGCCGAUGGCGACCGGCGCACGGGUGAGUAACACGUAUCCAACCUGCCGUCUACUCUUGGACAGCCUUCUGAAAGGAAGAUUAAUACAAGAUGGCAUCAUGAGUCCGCAUGUUCACAUGAUUAAAGGUAUUCCGGUAGACGAUGGGGAUGCGUUCCAUUAGAUAGUAGGCGGGGUAACGGCCCACCUAGUCUUCGAUGGAUAGGGGUUCUGAGAGGAAGGUCCCCCACAUUGGAACUGAGACACGGUCCAAACUCCUACGGGAGGCAGCAGUGAGGAAUAUUGGUCAAUGGGCGAGAGCCUGAACCAGCCAAGUAGCGUGAAGGAUGACUGCCCUAUGGGUUGUAAACUUCUUUUAUAAAGGAAUAAAGUCGGGUAUGUAUACCCGUUUGCACGUACUUUAUGAAUAAGGAUCGGCUAACCCCGUGCCAGCAGCCGCGGUAAUACGGAGGAUCCGAGCGUUAUCCGGAUUUAUUGGGUUUAAAGGGAGCGUAGAUGGAUGUUUAAGUCAGUUGUGAAAGUUUGCGGCUCAACCGUAAAAUUGCAGUUGAUACUGGAUAUCUUGAGUGCAGUUGAGGCAGGCGGAAUUCGUGGUGUAGCGGUGAAAUGCUUAGAUAUCACGAAGAACUCCGAUUGCGAAGGCAGCCUGCUAAGCUGCAACUGACAUUGAGGCUCGAAAGUGUGGGUAUCAAACAGGAUUAGAUACCCUGGUAGUCCACACGGUAAACGAUGAAUACUCGCUGUUUGCGAUAUACUGCAAGCGGCCAAGCGAAAGCGUU